GGCUCAUAUUUGCUUUAUCUACCUUAUGUCUAAUAUGAAUUGCACAACAUUCUUUCCUUUGACUACCUCUAACAUUGCCAAUACAUCCUUAUGCUAGUUAAGAGGGUUCAAACCACUCUCGAAGCUUUGUCUAAGCACAAGAUAGUAGAAUUGAAUACAAUUCUUAUACUAUAGCUACUCCAUCAUAUCUUUCUAACUUUGUUAUGCUCAUUCUAUCAAGGUCAUAAUUGUUGAAAUGGUUCAUAG
rnacentral:lncRNA from 1 species